CCUACAGGUAGGCGGGUAGAGGAUACCCAGGCGCGCGAGAGAACUCCCGUUAAGGAACUAGGCAAGCUGACCCCGUAACUUCGGGAGAAGGGGUGCCCCUGCGGGUGAAGGCUGUAACGCCGGAGCCGGCGGGGGUCGCAGUGACAGGGUCCGAUCGACUGUUUAACAAAAACACAGGUCUCUGCGAAGUCGCAAGACGACGUAUAGGGGCUGACGCCUGCCCAACGCCAGAAGGUUAAUGGGAGGGGUGAACCCGCGAGGGGGCAGCUCCGAACUGAAGCCCUGGUGAGUGGCGGCCGUAACUAUAACGGUCCUAAGGUAGCGAAAUUCCUUGUCGGGUAAGUACCGACCUGCACGAAUGGCGUAACGAAUUGGGCGCUGUCUCAACGGGAGACUCGGUGAAAUUGUAGCACCUGUGAAGAUGCAGGUUACCCACGAUUGGACGGAAAGACCCCGUGGAGCUUUACUACACCCUGCCAUUGCACCUUCUGCGGAGCUGUAGAGCGUAGGUGGGAGUCCUUCGGGACGCCAAUGGAACACCACCCUGCUCCGUGGGGGGUGCUAACCCCCGCCGGUGAAGAGCCGGAGGGGAGACCGUGGCAGGCGGGUAGUUUGACUGGGGCGGUCGCCUCCCAAAAGGUAACGGAGGCGCCCAAUGGUUCCCUCGGCCCGGUUGGAAACCGGGCGUAAAGAGCGCAAGGGCAUAAGGGAGCUUGACGGCGAGACCUACAGGUCGAGCCGGGACGAAAGUCGGGCCUAGUGACCCUCUGGUGGUUUGUGGAAACGCCAGGGCUUAACGGAUAAAAGUUACCCCGCGGAUAACAGGCUUAUCUUGCCCAAGCGCCCACAGCGACGGCAAGGUUUGGCACCUCGAUGUCGGCUCGUCGCAUCCUGGGGCUGGAUUAGGUCCCAAGGGUUAGGCUGUUCGCCUAUUAAAGCGGUACGCGAGCUGGGUUCAGAACGUCGCGAGACAGUUCGGUCCCUAUCCAUCGUGGGCGGAAGAGCAUUGAGGGGAGCUGCUCCUAGUACGAGAGGACCGGAGUGGACCGACCGCUGGUGUACCGGUUGUCGCGCCCGCGGCAGAAGCCGGGUAGCUAUGUCGGGAAGGGAUAAGCGCUGAAGGCAUCUAAGCGCGAAGCUCGCCCCAAUAUGAGUGCUCUCGCCCGGUCAGCGGGGUAAGGCCCGUGGAAGAGAACCACGUCGAUAGGCGGUCCCUGGAAGCGCGGCGACGCGUGGAGGGCAGCCGUACUAAUCGGCCGAGGGCUUGAUCGU
rnacentral:rRNA from 1 species